UGCCAGCACCGCGGUAAUACGAAGGGACCUAGCGUAGUUCGGAAUUACUGGGCUUAAAGCGUGCGUAGGCGGACUAUUAAGUCUGAUGUGAAAUCCCUCGGCUCAACCGAGGACCUGCAUUGGAUACUGGUAGUCUUGAGUCCCGGAGAGGAUAGCGGAAUUCCUAGUGUAGGGGUGAAAUUCGUAGAUAUUAGGAGGAACACCAGUGGCGAAAGCGGCUAUCUGGACGGUGACUGACGCUGAGGCACGAAAGCAUAGGUAGCAAACAGGAUUAGAUA
rnacentral:rRNA from 1 species